rnacentral:rRNA from 1 species
GCCGUAGCGAAAGCGAGUUUUAACUGAGCGUUCAGUUACUUGACGUAGACCCGAAACCGGGCGAACUACCCAUGAGCAGGAUGAAGCGAAAGUAAAAUUUCGUGGAGGUCCGAACCCACGAGCGUUGCAAAGCUCGGGGAUGACUGGUGGGUAGCGGUGAAAUUCCAAUCUAGCCCGGAGAUAGAUGGUUCUCCCCGAAAUAGCUUUAGGACUAGCCGCAAGGUGAGAAGUACGGAGGUAGAGCACUGAAUGUCCUAGGGGGUAUUGCACCUACCGAAGACUAUCAAACUCCGAAUGCCGUCAUCUUAUACUUGGGAGUCAGACUGUGGGUGAUAAGAUUCAUAG